rnacentral:lncRNA from 1 species
AAUGUCUGCUUGAGGUAAAAUGUUCUCGGUGCAAUGGCUGUCAGAAGAAUAACUGUUAUCUCCCAGAGUCUGGCAAGCACUUAAAGGUCAUAGUUUAGGUUUUCAGGUCCACAAUGGUAUCUUGUUAAGCACAGAGUGUCCAUAGCACGUGUAAUGCUUGCCGCCAGCUCUCUAUGAAGAGUGCUUAAUGCUCUUCACACACGGUACGCACCUUCUGUGUGAUCCUCUACAAAAACAGCUGGAGCAGUGGAAGGCAGCAUGGACUGUGAGCAUGCUGGGGCAAGUGAUGACUCCUGGGGACAAUAAA